CAAGUGUCAAGUUACAUUUUAAGCAACUUGGAUCAGAUUUCAACUUUUCGACAAUCCAACACGGCUUGUUAACUUAAAUUAAAGAAAGUAACAAACAAGAAUAUAUAUUUCUAGACCGACCGAUCACUUACCGAUAUGGUUUUUAUUUAUACUAUUAUUAACUGCGAGUAAAGUCUGUCAUGUCACUCAAACCCAUUGUAACGAAAUAGCGAGAUCCUUAAUUGAUUUGAUUUCCGAAAUAUAUCGGCAACUGCAAAUGUCGCUAGCUGUAAAGUGUGUGAAACAAAACGCUUAAAAUUCUUAAAUUAAAGAUUUCUGUUGCCAGGAAC